UGCCGUUGGGAGCGGUAUGAACAUGAACAUAUGCUUGUGUGUGUACUUAUUGUACUAUAUACACGUAUAAUAUUUCAUUUAAGUGUUGCGAUUGCUAAGUAAAUAAUUAUUUGCAGAUGCUUGUAAGUAAGCGUGUAUAAAGCACUUUAAAUAAAAAAAAAACAAAACACAAGCGCAUUACACUGAUAAGGUUGACGAGCAGUCAGAUUAAACAAGGCAAGUUCCACAUUUUAGUAAUUGUUAAUAUACUAAAGAAUCAACAACACAAAAGCACGCGAACAUUUAGAAUAUAAAUAAAAGCGGUAUAAACAAUUAAAUAGAAGAAAAAUGAAAUUGCUUUAUUACAUAUUUGUGCUGUUUCUGAUUGCUAUUAGCGGUAUCGUGCAGCUUCAAUCCAAUCUCGUUACCAGCAAAGUGAUUUUUUAUACAAGCAAAAAUAAGACUGAGGAGAGCAGCAUAUUUUCAAUACAUCGACGUAAAUGUCCAUACGCAAUGGAUCAUCUAGGACGUUGCCGCAACUUUGAAUAAGCGAAGCUGUAGACGAAAUCGGAACACGCAACUGUAAAAGUGACAAAUUACAAUGUUUUUAUGAUAUUGGAAAUUUAUUUUAUUACUAUGUAUGAAUGUACUGCUCCAACCGCUUUGACACCACUGAUGAAAUAGCAAUGAAAUGUAUUUUUUUGUAAAAUUUUUGAUAUUCCAAAUAAACGUCACAGUUAAACAAACUGAUAAGCUCGUGAAAACAAUUAGCAUGUGCUCGUCGUAGUGCAAACAAAACAAAUUGUAUACAAUCUUUGGAUAGCUCCAAAGCGGCGACGAAAAUCGCGUAUAAUGAAUGACUCAAUUGUGAAGACAGAAUUUCACCGCACUGCGAAAUAUGUAAAAUGCUAAAGUAUAAAAAUAGCCUGCUUCUACGUAAAAUGAAUCUAUGUUUGCACUGCAAAUAUUUGGCGUCAAACUGCUGCCUCAACGGUAACACUACGUUAACGGUGCUAAUUGGGGCUUAUGCAAAGUAACCCUGCUUGUCAUCGGAGUAAUAAUUUACCUAGCAAUGGUUCAUAUACUUAGAUUGGAGGAAACGUAGUGAAAAAAACCUCAAACUUCAUUAUGCAAGAGUUUCUGAUAUAUCAGGACCGACACUUCAAAUUUUUUGAUAGAUUCGUUAUGAAAGCAUAAUAUUGAAAAUGAGAACAUGACUAAGAAAUUGAUCGACGGAACUGAUCUGUGCGUAUUUUAAACUUUUCCUUUUUAUCCCAUUACAACAUUUUUUUUUUACUGCAAUAUAUAAUAUUAAACGAUAUUCUAUGCUGACAUGACGAUAAAAUUACAACAAAUUAAAUUUAAAUCAUUUUACUAUUCUUAAAAACAAAAUUAUGUUGUAUAUUUGUGUUUUCGUAACAAAUUAUUGUAAGUUAUUUACCUAAAUAUAUCAUUCACAUCAGAUACCAAUUUUAUAUACACAAGUUACCAUCUAAUGGAAGCACCCCUUCUGACACCAAAAAGUUUUGCUCUAAGAGCCGAAUAAAUAGUGAAAAAGUCAUUAAUCGAUUUGAUUAAACUUGGGGUUUUCACAUUAAUCAUAAAAAAACAAUAUUUUCUACCAGUGUCUUUUUGAAUUCCCCUGCCCUGUUUGUUUAAUAGUCUGUGAUUGAUCAUCAAUACUUAGUAAUAAUAUAGAGUUAUAUAGCGGAAGCAUCUACUAGGUCACCGAUACGUUUGAGACACCUAAUGAACGUAUUCGAUCGCAAGUAGCCGUCACAGUGGCAAAUCAUUUACUAUUCCUAUAAAUUUGAGUUUUCCAAAUCAAUCACAUAAAUUCUAUUUAUACAGUGUUAAUCCCUUGAUUUCUUAUGGUCUGUGAUUCAUCAUAAAUAUUUAAUAAUAGUAUAGCCAUGUGCUACGAAGCAUGACCGAUCGUUUUUUCCAUUAUUUUAUCUCUAUAUGUAUCAAUACGUAAUAUCAGCUGUGCUCUUGGUCUGAGGUUCUACCUCAUCAAUUUCUGAAGGUUCUCUUAGGCGAUAAGUUUUUAUCUAUAAAAUGAGUGCAGUUCUGAGAACAUAUAUAUAUUACCUUUCCAUUUUAAAUGCCAUGUAUUUACGUUCUCCAUUCUAUAUCUGUUCUAUUUGUUGCAAAUGAAGAUAGAUAUACUAUAUGCCACUACUAAAAACAAACACUAAUUAAAAAACAAAUUGCAUCUUCUGAUACUAUAAACGCCUGAUACCAAAAGAUAAAUAUAUAUGUAUAUGCAUACAUGCAAGUAUAUAUUAUAACUGGAAAUUGUCUUGCACAGGGUAUUUAAAUAAACAAUUUUGAAUGAAAACGUUUUUCAAUCUGAAGUUCAAGAAUGGUUUGAUCUUAGUUAUUUUGAUUGCGUGUUUAGAAAAGAUCAUAGAAAUGCCCCUGAAAGGCGCUUUUUUGAGAUGCUUCUGGCCUAGAUUGAAACGCAGUAGAUCUAUUGAACUGCUUGCUCUUAACAAGGCUAAAAAUCUUGUCGAACGCAAUUUGUCAAUGUUGUAUGGAGGAAGGUGAGGUCGAAACGUGAAGGCACUGAGAUUGAAACAUCUCGGCAAAUCGAGAUUUAUAUUAGCCGCUUCAACAAUUAUAUGAUAGGCUCAGAGCGCUUUGCAAUAUAUGACGAUGUUUAUAGUCAAUACAUAAAAGUUGAUCAUUACGGACCGGAGUUCCAAGCUAUCCAAGUGAGAUUCUUGUAAACGUUUUCUAAGUCUAUGCUCCCGUUAUAUAUAAAAAAGAAUAGAAACUUGGUUAUAAAAGAAUAGUUUGAUUUUUCUUAGUCGCUCUCAGUCGGUUCUACGCGACGGGAACGAAUUUGCAUAUUUUUCUGCCAGUACACUGUCAACUUAGAAAUAUUACUCAAAGUUAUUUUAGAUUUUCUUUUCUGCCAUUAUAGUAAUCACAAAAAGAUUGUUUUAUGUGAACAUUUCAAAGACAUUUGCUUUAUUUUCGUAACCUAUGCUACUAGAUAAAGUUAUAGUUCGAUUUAGUUCUUUAGGAUUACUAACCAAAUUAGGGUAUCAAGCAAAAUAUGGAACCAUUUACAACGUCGAUAUUAGUUUGGCUCAUUUUGAUUAUCGUAUCAGCAUAGUAAAUCAUAUUUAGCGCUUGGAAAUAUAAAAACAAGUUCGGUUAGGUAAUUAGUAAAGCGAGUUUCUUACUCUCACAUAUCAUACUUGUUGAUAAUCAUUAUUACUUUUAUUACAUUUAUGGUUAUUUUAAAAUGUAAUGUUUUGGACUCAAGAGACCGUUAUAACGAAUUAUAUAAAUUUCGAAUUCCAAUGGCAACAAAAUUGAGACACACCCUGUAAUAUGUUAAGCGUUUAAAAAAAUAAUAAUAAUAAGAUAAAGUGAUAAUAAUUGUUAUCAAUAUAUGUCGAUACGCAAAGUCUCAGUGAGCACAGAUGCCAUAUAGCGUUCUCUAAAUAACGCACUCCUACAAUGUUUAGACGUCGCUAGGUGAGCAAGUCGUACGAGUGUGAGUGUGCGUAUGCGGAGCGACCACACCGUAAUGCAAUCACCUUCGUUCACUCCCAUAAGGGUUUCUUAAGUAGUGGCACGAGGAAUCGUUUGUGAUCAGUUUAAGACCGGCAUUUGUAGCGAAGCAUUUUGUAUAAAUUACUAUGAACAAUUGCGAAAAUCCAAACAAAUAUUUAUUUUAACUCGAAUUGUUGGCUGUUUGCGAUUAUAUGUAUAAACAUAUUUAGUCAACACAAAUAGUGAAAUAAAGUUUUUAAAUAAAUUUAUUAAAAAAUUAGAGAUAAUUGCAAUGGUUUCCAAGAAAAUUACAGUAUGGACAUUAUUGAUGGUGGCAUUUUUAGUAUUAAGUAAAUCCACCGAAACGGAGUGCCGUCGCGUGAUAUUCUAUGCACCACAAACAAUAAAGAUUUACACAUCACAGAUCUUAUCGUCGCGUGUGAAGGAAAAACCGUGCAUAAAAUGUCAUAUGCGAGAUCAUCGUGGCGUAUGCCGACGUGUUCUAUCAUUUAACGGCAAUGGUAUUAAAUGCUGAAAUAUUACUGCGGUAAAAUCGCUGCAUGUAUGGAAUCUCCACUUGUUGAACACCGUUGCCUGUAUGCUAAUGCAACUGUCUGAGUUAAUGUUUAAGUACAUUAAGAUGUUAAAUUAUUUUAGUUGUAGAUCAAAAGCUCAUGUAGUGUUUUCUAAGUAAUUAUUUAUUCAAGAAUAAUUUAUUAGUAUAAUAUUCGAA